AUCAUCAACGAGACUGCUCUCAGUGAGUUCACUGUGGAAAGUGUUUCCAGGAUUAAGCACGCCUCCUUUUUAUGUCUCCGAUUCUACCUCCCUGGUGAGAUGCUCUUCACCUGCCUCCUCCUCUGACUCCAAUCUAUCAAAGUAAAGAUCUUCAGGAUCAAUGGGUAUCUGUGGUGCUUUUAAGACAGUGAUCAAGUCUUAUGACCCCUCUGCACACUCUCUUGGAGUUUAUUUCUUCAUUUUCACCAGCUGCUGAAGACUUGUUGUGAAUUUAAAAGAGUUUCAGUUCAGAUCCAGUCUUGUAUUUGGAAUAGUCUUGUUGGUAUCCCAUGACAACAAAAAAGAUGUGAAGGCAAAGACGGCAGGACUGGAAUUCUUGAAGAAAGUCAGCCUCUUCAUGGUAUGCUCCCAUGACAUCCAUAUCUGCUUCCCAAGCCUUGGGGAGGAAGUCCUUCCACAGCCAGAAAGGAUGGAUGAACACACAAAGGAACUGGUCAUCACCUUUCUGAUUUGAACAGUAUUUAGAGGCUAGAUGGGAAGAGCAAUCACCAGUGUCUUCUUCAGGACCAGAGACAGCCCUACUGCCCUGAAAACCAUUCAAAUGAAGCCAUGCUCAGCUCAUGUCUGCCUUCUUUAUCCCUCCUUCCUGCAGUGAGCCUUGCCUCUUCUGGCCACCGUGUCUAGCUGACAGAGGUGACAAAGCCAAGCUAAAGAGAUUUUGCAAUUCCAAAGACUCUGGCUGAAGACUUUGACUACAUCCUCAGCAGUGUAAGACAAGCCUCUGAGACCUACUAAAAGCUUGGCAGGGCACAUGUUUCCAGCAUCUCCAACUCAUGGGUUGACAAGAAUAUUAAUUUAAAAAUGUGUGCAGUUUCUACCAAGCAAAGAGACAAUGCCAACAAUUUGGUGAAGUUGUGAAAUGGAAGAUGUCUGUUAUAUUGUUCUUCGACUCGCCUUAUUUUAGAUUGUUGUUUCUAUGGUGAAAUCAUCCAGGUCUAUCUGCCUCAAUUGGGUCUAACUAUAUGCUCCAGUGCAGGGAGUUUUCACAAACAUAUUCAGCUCUGCUGUAAUUAGGGGAGCAUGAUGGUGCUGCUGCUGGUUCUGCCACAUAGUAAGCCUGUGCAUCCAUUCCAGGGGGCUGUUGUUCUAAAGAAAGAGUGUGGAGAGGACACUGUUCAUUCUGCAAAGGCAUCUGAAAUGAUGAUCUAACACCUGAAACUCUGGGAAAUGUUGUGAUUUCUCAGCUCUAGUGAGAUUGUCUUAUGGGAGAAGUUCUGCACAAUACAAGUUCAAGGAACCUAGUGAUAUGAUUUAGAAGCAAUCCACCAGGUCAGAGACACUGCUAAAUCAGAAUGUGGCAAGGGAGAAGCUGGGAGAUCUGGAGCAGUUAGACCUUUUGUCUACAAAUCAAC